rnacentral:rRNA from 1 species
GACGAACGCUGGCGGCGUGCUUAACACAUGCAAGUCGAACGGAAACGCCCUGCUUUUGUGCGCUGCUCGAGUGCCGAACGCGUGAGUAACACGUGAGUAACCUGCCCUUCACUUUGGGAUAACUUCAGGAAACUGGGGCUAAUACCGGACAGGAGCUCCUGCACCAUUGAGGGGAUUGGAUAGUUUCGGCGGUUGUGGCUGGACUCGCGGAUUAUCGGCUUGUUGGUGGGGUAGUGGAUUACCAACGAUUUGACUGGUAGCCGGCCUGAGAGGGUGGCCGGCGACCUUGGGACUGAGGUAGGGACCAGACUCCUACGGGAGGCAACAGUGGGGAAUAUUGCACAAUGGGCGGAAGCCUGAUGCAGCGACGCCGCGUGCGUGAUGACGGCCUUCGGGUUGUAAACCGCUUUCGCCUGUGACGCAGCGUGAGUGACGGUAAUGGGUGAAGAAGCACCGGCUAACUACGUG